rnacentral:rRNA from 1 species
CUAACGAGGAUUCCCAGAGUAGCUGCGAGCGAAAAGGGAAGAGCCCAUCGCCGAAUCCCAAGGGCCACGCCCUUAGGGAACUGUGGCGUUUUGGAGAGUCCGAUUAACCCGGGGUCCGUGCAGCGAGUUCAAGUCCAUCUUGAACGGGGCCACGGUCCGUAGAGGGUGCCAGGCCCGUAGAUAACCGGUGCCGGCCUCGGGUGGACUCCUCCUUAGAGUCGGGCUGCUUGAGAGUGCAGCCCUAAGAGGGUGGUAAACUCCAUCUAAGGCUAAAUACAACCACG